AUUGAACGCUGGCGGCAGGCCUAACACAUGCAAGUCGAGCGGCAGCGGAAAGUAGCUUGCUACUUUGCCGGCGAGCGGCGGACGGGUGAGUAAUGUCUGGGAAACUGCCCAAUGGAGGGGGAUAACUACUGGAAACGGUAGCUAAUACCGCAUAACGUCGCAAGACCAAAGAGGGGGACCUUCGGGCCUCUUGCCAUCGGAUGUGCCCAGAUGGGAUUAGCUAGUAGGUGGGGUAACGGCUCACCUAGGCGACGAUCCCUAGCUGGUCUGAGAGGAUGACCAGCCACACUGGAACUGAGACACGGUCCAGACUCCUACGGGAGGCAGCAGUGGGGAAUAUUGCACAAUGGGCGCAAGCCUGAUGCAGCCAUGCCGCGUGUAUGAAGAAGGCCUUCGGGUUGUAAAGUACUUUCAGCGGGGAGGAAGGUGUUGAGGUUAAUAACCUUGUCGAUUGACGUUACCCGCAGAAGAAGCACCGGCUAACUCCGUGCCAGCAGCCGCCGUAAUAC
rnacentral:rRNA from 1 species